rnacentral:tRNA from 1 species
GAAUUGAAAGCUAAAUAUAGGCAUUGGUCUUGUAAAUCAAAGAUAGGGGACCCCUCUCAAUUCU